GAGUUUGAUCAUGGCUCAGGAUGAACGCUGGCGGCGUGCCUAACACAUGCAAGUCGAGCGAUUCUCUUCGGAGAAGAGCGGCGGACGGGUGAGUAACGCGUGGGUAACCUGCCCUGUACACACGGAUAACAUACCGAAAGGUAUGCUAAUACGAGAUAACAUACUUUUAUCGCAUGGUAGAAGUAUCAAAGCUCCGGCGGUACAGGAUGGACCCGCGUCUGAUUAGCUAGUUGGUAAGGUAACGGCUUACCAAGGCGACGAUCAGUAGCCGACCUGAGAGGGUGAUCGGCCACAUUGGAACUGAGACACGGUCCAAACUCCUACGGGAGGCAGCAGUGGGGAAUAUUGCACAAUGGGCGAAAGCCUGAUGCAGCAACGCCGCGUGAGCGAUGAAGGCCUUCGGGUCGUAAAGCUCUGUCCUCAAGGAAGAUAAUGACGGUACUUGAGGAGGAAGCCCCGGCUAACUACGUGCCAGCAGCCGCGGUAAUACGUAGGGGGCUAGCGUUAUCCGGAAUUACUGGGCGUAAAGGGUGCGUAGGUGGUUUCUUAAGUCAGAGGUGAAAGGCUACGGCUCAACCGUAGUAAGCCUUUGAAACUGGGAAACUUGAGUGCAGGAGAGGAGAGUGGAAUUCCUAGUGUAGCGGUGAAAUGCGUAGAUAUUAGGAGGAACACCAGUUGCGAAGGCGGCUCUCUGGACUGUAACUGACACUGAGGCACGAAAGCGUGUGGAGCAAACAGGAUUAGAUACCCUGGUAGUCCACGCCGUAAACGAUGAGUACUAGCUGUCGGAGGUUACCCCCUUCGGUGGCGCAGCUAACGCAUUAAGUACUCCGCCUGGGAAGUACGCUCGCAAGAGUGAAACUCAAAGGAAUUGACGGGG
rnacentral:rRNA from 1 species